UACGUAGGGUGCGAGCGUUGUCCGGAAUUAUUGGGCGUAAAGAGCUCGUAGGCGGUGUGUCACGUCGUUCGUGAAAACCUGCAGCUUAACUGUGGGCGUGCGGUCGAUACGGGCAUCACUGGAGUUCGGCAGGGGAGACUGGAAUUCCUGGUGUAGCGGUGAAAUGCGCAGAUAUCAGGAGGAACACCGGUGGCGAAAGGCGGGGUCUCUGGGGCCGAUACUGACGCUGGAGGGAAGCGAAAAGCGUGGGGGAGCAAAACAGG
rnacentral:rRNA from 1 species